rnacentral:rRNA from 1 species
UACGUAGGGGGGCGAGCGUUGUCCGGAUUUAUUGGGCGUAAAGAGCGUGUAGGCGGCCAGGUAGGUCUGCUGUGAAAACUCGAGGCUCAACCUCGAGACGUCGGCGGAAACCAUCUGGCUAGAGUCCGGAAGAGGAGAGUGGAAUUCCUGGUGUAGCGGUGAAAUGCGCAGAUAUCAGGAAGAACACCCGUGGCGAAGGCGGCUCUCUGGGACGGUACUGACGCUGAGACGCGAAAGCGUGGGGAGCGAACAGGG